ACAGAGGAACCCGAAAAUCUUAUAAGAGUAGGGA
rnacentral:ncRNA from 1 species